UGGGGGAUAUUGCACAAUGGGGGAAACCCUGAUGCAGCGACGCCGCGUGAGUGAAGAAGUAUUUCGGUAUGUAAAGCUCUAUCAGCAGGGAAGAAAUACUGGCCUCCGGUCAGCAGACAGUACCUGAAUAAGAAGCCCCGGCUAACUACGUGCCAGCAGCCGCGGUAAUACGUAGGGGGCAAGCGUUAUCCGGAUUUACUGGGUGUAAAGGGAGCGUAGACGGUGAAGCAAGUCUGGAGUGAAAGCCCGGGGCCCAACCCCGGGACUGCUCUGGAAACUGUUUAACUGGAGUACAGGAGGGGCAGGCGGAAUUCCUGGUGUAGCGGUGAAAUGCGUAGAUAUCAGGAGGAACACCGGCGGCGAAGGCGGCCUGCUGGACUGAGACUGACGUUGAGGCUCGAAAGCGUGGGGAGCAAACAGG
rnacentral:rRNA from 1 species